rnacentral:rRNA from 1 species
AGCGAACGCUGGCGUCAGGCCUAACACAUGCAAGUCGAACGAACCGUUCGGGGUUAGUCGCGGACGGGCGCGUAACCUGUGGGAACGCGGCUUUAGGUUCGGAACAACUCAGGGACUCUUGUUCUAAUACCGCCUGUGCCCUUCGGGGGGGAGAGUAAUCGCAUUUCGUGGGGCCCGCGUCUGAUUAGCUAGUUGGUUGAGGUAAUGGCUCACCAAGGCGACGAUCAGUAGCUGGUCUGAGAGGAUGAUCAGCCACAUUGGGACUGAGACAGGGCCCAAGCUCCUACGGGAGGCAGCAGUGGGGAAUCGUGCGCAAUGGGCGAAAGCCUGACGCAGCCAUGCCGGGUGAAUGAUGAAGGUCUUAGGAUUGUAAAAUUCUUUCGCCGGGGACGAUAAUGACGGUACCCGGAGAAGAAGCCCCGGCUAACUUCGUG